rnacentral:tRNA from 1 species
GCGAGAGUGGCGGAAUUGGCAGACGCGCCGGUCUUAGGAGCCGGUAGCCGAAAGGCUGUGUGGGUUCGAGUCCCACCUUUCGCACCA